rnacentral:tRNA from 1 species
UCGGGAUAGCUCAGUUGGUAGAGCAGAGGACUGAAAAUCCUCGUGUACCUUUCUCAAUAUAUUA